rnacentral:rRNA from 1 species
UACGUAGGGUGCAAGCGUUAAUCGGAAUUACUGGGCGUAAAGCGUGCGCAGGCGGUUAUGUAAGACAGAUGUGAAAUCCCCGGGCUCAACCUGGGAACUGCAUUUGUGACUGCAUGGCUAGAGUACGGUAGAGGGGGGGAUGGAAUUCCGCGUGUAGCAGUGAAAUGCGUAGAUAUGCGGAGGAACACCGAUGGCGAAGGCAAUCCCCUGGACCUGUACUGACGCUCAUGCACGAAAGCGUGGGGAGCAAACAGG